rnacentral:rRNA from 1 species
CCGUAGCCCAAGAGAUCGGGAUAACACCUGGAAACAGAUGCUAAUACCGGAUAACAACAGAUGAUGCCUAUCAACUGUUUAAAAGAUGGUUCUGCUAUCACUCUUGGAUGGACCUGCGGUGCAUUAGCUAGUUGGUAGGGUAACGGCCUGCCAAGGCGAUGAUGCAUAGCCGAGUUGAGAGACUGAUCGGCCACAUUGGGACUGAGACACGGCCCAAACUCCUACGGGAGGCAGCAGAG